rnacentral:rRNA from 1 species
AUUGAACGCUGGCGGCAUGCCUUACACAUGCAAGUCGAACGGUAACGGGCCUUCGGGUGCCGACGAGUGGCGAACGGGUGAGUAAAGCAUCGGAACGUACCUUUCAGUGGGGGAUAACGUAGCGAAAGUUACGCUAAUACCGCAUAUUCUGUGAGCAGGAAAGCAGGGGAUCGCAAGACCUUGCGCUGAUUGAGCGGCCGAUGUCAGAUUAGCUAGUUGGUGAGGUAAAGGCUCACCAAGGCGACGAUCUGUAGCGGGUCUGAGAGGAUGAUCCGCCACACUGGAACUGAGACACGGUCCAGAGUCCUACGGGAGGCAGCAGUGGGGAAUUUUGGACAAUGGGGGCAACCCUGAUCCAGCCAUGCCGCGUGAGUGAAGAAGGCCUUCGGGUUGUAAAGCUCUUUCGGUCGGGAAGAAAUCGCAUGGGUUAAUACCCUGUGCGGAUGACGGUACCGGCAUAAGAAGCACCGGCUAACUACGUGCCAGCCGCCGCCGUAAAAC